UUGCCAAGAAAGAGUUCCUUUGCACGAGUAAGAAACCGAUGUAUUUACACGGGUCUCCCUCGUUCCGUAUAUAAGUUCUUCAAAAUUUCUCGUAUCCUUUUUCGUGGAUUAGCAUCUCGAGGUCCUUUGAUGGGCAUAAAGAAAUCGUCUUGGUAGCAACCACCAAACCAAUAGAACAAGGGUUUGCUCCGCAGUAGGUCUACAAGCAAGGUAAGUAGGUCCAUUACCAGCCAGCUCCGGACCAAAAAAACCUAACGGACUAAUCCCUUAUCUAGGAUCGUAGAUGCUAACGGGGCGGGAAUCGAAGUGGGGGACCCCUCUACCGCCUGUGUCUGUCUCCUGUCAAGUAUGCUCCCUAGACAUAGACUAGGUACAGGGUAGUACUCUUGGAAAGAUAGAAUAUCACCGCCUGAACAUAACAUGUAAUGUUGUUACGAAUGUAACUCCCAAAGGGUCGACCACUAUUCUAAAUAUAGUAUGGCGGAGAACUGUUGUUCAGUGGAGCGCCGGAGUGCGGAGGUUGUUCCCAUUAUUGAAGUAAGGGUGUGGGACUGAGCCUUUCGAAUGAGAAAGAAGAAAAGUGGUUAGUUUCGUUGGAAAAACCAACGCAAAUAUCAUAUUGACUUUCUCUCGCCCUACUUCUAAAGAUAGAUAGAAAGGGUUGGAGAGAAUUUUAGAAAGUCAUUCUCUCCUUUCUAAAGUUGCGCAAGGCGGCCCCCCAGAACAUAGCCCACCCCUCUUUUCCCCCCUUUAAUGAAGGACCCUCGCCUCACUUCCUAUUCAUUUGUGGGUCUGGACCCUAUUUUUUUUUCGAGAACCCCCAAUUGCUUAGGGUUCACACUCUUUCCCGCUUGGUGGAUGAAAUCUUCUCUCCUUUUUGAAUUCUUUCUCCCACACACCCUUUUUGCCCUCUUUCGCCGAGGAGGAAAGAAUAAUCUUCCAAGCGGACAGAGACCUAAAUUUCCAUUAGAUUCAUUCCUAAGCUUGCUUUGUUGCAGCAAGAUGAUCAGUCCGAGAGUGCUGGAGAGAAGAGAAAGCGGUAAAAACCUCUCUUAUUCGGUCAUCGAGAAGUCAGACCACUCUUUAGUAACCCAGGGUGAUCCGACCCCUUCGACUCUUUUUUCGCUGUAUACCCCCUCCAUCCUUCGGAGGUGGAAGAAAGGGUACUCACAUUUUAAUACAUAGUAGGGCCCCAGAAUGCUAAAAUUUGGGGGAACAAGAGUUGUCACGAUAGAAAAGAGAAAAAAAAAGAAAUGACUAUAAGGAACCAACGACUCUCUCUUCUUAAACAACCUAUAUCCUCCACACUUAAUAAGCAUUUGAUAGAUUAUCCAACCCCGAGCAAUCUUAGUUAUUGGUGGGGGUUCGGUUCGUUAGCGGGUAUUUGUUUAGUCAUUCAGAUAGUGACUGGUGUUUUUUUAGCUAUGCAUUACACACCUCAUGUGGAUCUAGCUUUCAAUAGCGUAGAACACAUUAUGAGAGAUGUUGAAGGGGGCUGGUUGCUCCGUUAUAUGCAUGCUAAUGGGGCAAGUAUGUUUUUCAUUGUGGUUCACCUACAUAUUUUUCGUGGUCUAUAUCAUGCCAGUUAUAGUAGUCCUAGGGAAUUUGUUCGGUGUCUCGGAUUUGUAAUCUUCCUAUUAAUGAUUGUGACAGCUUUUAUUGGAUAUGUACUACCUUGGGGUCAGAUGAGCUUUUGGGGAGCUAUAGUAAUCACAAGCUUAGAUAGCGCCAUACCUGUAGUAGGAGAUACCAUAGUGACUUGGCUUUGGGGUGGGUUCUCCGUGGACAAUGCCACCUUAAAUCAUUUUUUUAGUCUUCAUCAUUUACUCCCCUUUAUUUUAGUAGGCGCCAGUCUUCUUCAUCUGGCCGCAUUGCAUUAAUAUGGAUCCAAUAAUCCAUUGGGUGUACAUUCAGAGAUGUAUAAAAUUGCUUCUUACCCUUAUUUUUAUGUAAAGGAUCUAGUAGGUUGGGUAGCUUUUGCUAUCUUUUUUUCCAUUUGGAUUUUUUAUGCUCCUAAUGUUUUAGGGAAUCCCGACAAUUAUAUACCUGCUAAUCCGAUGUCCACCCCGCCUCAUAUUGUGCCAGAAUGGUAUGUCCUACCGAUCCAUGCCAUUCUUCGUAGUAUACCUGACAAAUCGGGAGGUGUAGCCGCAAUAGCACCAGUUUUUAUAUGUCUGUUGGCUUUACCUUUUUUCAAAAGUAUGUAUGUACGUAGUUCAAGUUUUCGCCCGAUUCACCAAGGUGUCGCUUUUGGCAGAUUGCUUACUACUAGGUUGGAUCGGAUGUCAACCUGUGGAUGCACCCUUUGUUACCAUUGGACAAAUUUCUCCUUUAGUUUUCUUCUUGUUCUUUACCAUAACGCCCAUUCUGGGAUGAUUUUGAAGAGGAAUUCCUAAUUCUUACAUGGAUGAGACUGAUCACACCUGAUUAGUGAGAAAUUCUUACACCAAUCAUUUACGAGUGGGUAUUACACCAAGAAUUUACAAGCGGAUCGAGGAAUGAAGGGAGAGGAAUUUGAAUAGAAAGAAAGAGACGUAUUUCGAAUUAGAG